AGUGAACGCUGGCGGUAGGCCUAACACAUGCGAGUCGAACGGCAGCACAGUAAGAGCUUGCUCUUACGGGUGGCGAGUGGCGGACGGGUGAGGAAUACAUCGGAACCUACUUUUUCGUGGGGGAUAACGUAGGGAAACUUACGCUAAUACCGCAUACGACCUACGGGUGAAAGCAGGGGAUCUUCGGACCUUGCGCGAUUGAAUGAGCCGAUGUCGGAUUAGCUAGUUGGCGGGGUAAAGGCCCACCAAGGCGACGAUCCGUAGCUGGUCUGAGAGGAUGAUCAGCCACACUGGAACUGAGACACGGUCCAGACUCCUACGGGAGGCAGCAGUGGGGAAUAUUGGACAAUGGGCGCAAGCCUGAUCCAGCCAUACCGCGUGGGCGAAGAAGGCCUUCGGGUUGUAAAGCCCUUUUGUUGGGAAAGAAAAGCAGCAGGUUAAUACCCCGCUGUUCUGACGGUACCCAAAGAAUAAGCACCGGCUAACUUCGUG
rnacentral:rRNA from 1 species